rnacentral:rRNA from 1 species
GACGAACGCUGGCGGCGUGCUUAACACAUGCAAGUCGAACGGAAAGGCCCUGCUUUUGUGGGGUGCUCGAGUGGCGAACGGGUGAGUAACACGUGAGUAACCUGCCCUUGACUUUGGGAUAACUUCAGGAAACUGGGGCUAAUACCGGAUAGGAGCUCCUGCUGCAUGGUGGGGGUUGGAAAGUUUCGGCGGUUGGGGAUGGACUCGCGGCUUAUCAGCUUGUUGGUGGGGUAGUGGCUUACCAAGGCUUUGACGGGUAGCCGGCCUGAGGGGGUGACGGGCCGGAUUGGAAUUGUAGUGGGGCCAGGACUCGGGAGGGGGGCAGAAGGGGGGAAAUUCUGAUACGGGGGGGACGCGUGAGGGAGGAAGGCCGUGGGGGGGUGAACGUCUUUCGGGUUUGAAGCAGGUUUGCCUUGUUAGGGGGGGGGGUGACGGGAAAUGGGUAAGAAACCACCGCUAAAUACGUG